rnacentral:rRNA from 1 species
AGUAACCUGCCCUGGAGUGGGGAAUAACAGCUGGAAACAGCUGCUAAUACCGCAUAAUGCAGUUGGGCCGCAUGGCUCUGACUGCCAAAGAUUUAUCGACUCUGGGAUGGACUCGCGUCUGAUUAGCUAGUUGGUGGGGCGAACGGCCCACCAAGGCGACGAUCAGUAGCCGGACUGAGAGGUUGGCCGGCCACAUUGGGACUGAGACACGGCCCAGACUCCUACGGAAGGCAGCAG